AAGUCGUAACAAGGUUUCCGUAGGUGAACCUGCGGAAGGAUCAUUAAUAGAUUGCUUGCCAGUCAAAAAGCCGUGGUGAGCUACCGGGGUGUUAACUUGUCAGUCACGGGAACGUGACUGUAAGAGAACACGUAGUCACCACUUUACCUUACUGAAUAUUACACUUACUGAAGUUGAACCAAAGUCUAGAAAACUUUUAGCAAUGGAUCUCUAGGCUCUU
rnacentral:misc_RNA from 1 species